rnacentral:rRNA from 1 species
UACGUAGGGUGCAAGCGUUGUCCGGAUUUAUUGGGCGUAAAGAGCUCGUAGGCGGUCUGUCGCGUCGGAUGUGAAAACCCAGGGCUCAACCCUGGGCCUGCAUUCGAUACGGGCAGACUAGAGUGUGGCAGGGGAGACUGGAAUUCCUGGUGUAGCGGUGAAAUGCGCAGAUAUCAGGAGGAACACCAAUGGCGAAGGCAGCUCGCUGGGACGUGACUGACGCUGAUGCACGAAAGUGUGGGGAUCAAACAGG